rnacentral:misc_RNA from 1 species
GAAAUGCGAUAAGUAGUGUGAAUUGCAGAAUUCAGGGAAUCAUCGAAUCUUUGAACGCACAUUGCGCCCCUCGGUAUUCCGUGGGGCAUGCCUGUUCGAGCGUCAUCUACACCCUCAAGCUCUGCUUGGUGUUGGGCGUCUGUCCCGCCUCCGCGCGCGGACUCGCCCCAAAUGCAUUGGCAGCGGUUCCUUGCCCCCCUCUUUGCGCAGCACAUUGCCAUUCGAGGCGGCGGCGGCCCGCGUCCAACAAGCUCAACCCCCCCGUCUUUGACCUCGGAUCAGGUAGGGAUACCCGCUGAACUUAAGC